rnacentral:rRNA from 1 species
GACGAACCGUGCGAACGUUAUUCGGAAUCACUGGGCUUAAAGCGCGUGUAGGCGGGCGGGUACGUCGGCGGCUGAAAGCCCCCGGCUCAACCGGGGAAGGGGUGCCGAAACGGCCGGCCUGGAGGGGCGUAGGGGGACCUGGAACUUCCGGUGGAGCGGUGAAAUGCGUUGAGAUCGGAAGGAACGCCCGUGGCGAAAGCGAGGUCCUGGACGCCAACUGACGCUGAGACGCGAAAGCCAGGGGAGCGAACGGG